rnacentral:tRNA from 1 species
UGGGGGAUCGUAUAGGGGCAAUACGGCGGGUUCUGGUCCCGUUGACCGAGGUUCGAAUCCUCGUCCCCCAGCCA